UACGUAGGGGGCUAGCGUUGUCCGGAAUCAUUGGGCGUAAAGAGCGUGUAGGCGGUCCGGUAAGUCCGUUGUGAAAGUCAGGGGCUCAACCCUUGAAUGCCGGCGGAUACUGUCGGGCUAGAGUCCGGAAGAGGCAAGUGGAAUUCCCGGUGUAGCGGUGAAAUGCGCAGAUAUCGGGGGGAACACCUAUGGCGAAGGCGGCUCACUGGACCGGUUCUGACGCUGAGGCGCGAAAGCGUGGGGAGCAAACGGG
rnacentral:rRNA from 1 species